ensembl:lncRNA
AUGAAACUAAAAAAAAAAAUAACAAGCACUACGGAAAAAGAAGCAACUGUCAAAUUAACACGUACAGCACAAAAUAAUAAUGAUGCGGCAUUGAAGGAGACCAUAGCAGAGGAAUUAUGUAAUAUAGAAACAGGUAUUAAAAAUGUAGAAUCAAAAAAAAGUAGUGGUGUUAGAAGUAAAUCGGUACCAAAUAGGAAAAGUACAAGUAGAAAAAACACAAUUGUGGGAAACAGUAAAAUGCACACAAGAAUUGAAACAAAACUUGAUGAUAUAAAAAUGAAUUCAAAAGUAAACACAUUAAAUAAUUUAGACAAUGACACAGAAGUGUGUAAGGAUACAAUUAAAAAGAGCGAUAGCAUAGGUUUGCUUAAGCUAAAAGAGAAUCAAAAGAAAAAGAAAGAAAAAAAAAAAAAGAUAGAUACUAACAACAGUGAUUUUAAUGAUAAUAAUAAUAACGUUGAUCAAUUUAAUCACAGUAAUAACGGUAGUACCAUCCUUGAUGACAAUAUUAUUAAUUCUCAUAUUAAUACAGAUGUAAUUAUAAAUGGAAUAAAAACAACAACAGUUAUGAAAAAGGAUGUAGACAAUAAUGAACUGGAUGGUUACACUAAUACGAACAAUUUAAAUAAUAAUAAUAAUAUGAAUAAAAAAAAUAGCUUUGAUGAUAAAAUAAGUGGAAUGGAAGCUAGUACUUCAAAUAUGAUAAAUAAUAAAAGUAAUAAAAAAAAAAGAGAAAAGAAAGUAAAAGAAAAUGUUGGUACUAGUAAAAACAAAAAGCGAAAAAAAGAAGAAGUUUUAAAUAAUAACGACAACGAUAGCAGCAACGGUAACGAUGACGAUGAUAAUGAUAGUAGCAAAGGUAAAAAUAACGAUAGUAGUAUAAACAAUAAAAACGACAAUAAAAACGACAAAAACAAUGACAAAAACAAUGACAAAAAUAAUGACAAUAAAAAUGACAAAAACAAUGACAAAAACAAUGACAAAAACAAUGACGUUGUAGAUGAAGUUUUAUCAAAACGUACACGGAAAAGAAGUGCUAAGUACUUUAACGAUUAUAUGCUGGUGGAUGAUGAGGAAGAAACUUUUUAUAGUUAUACUAACAAUUUUAACACAGCGUCUAAUAAUGUGAUAAAAUUAAUAAAAAACACAAAUGAAAUAACUAAUAAAAAAAUAGAAAAUGAAUGUGAACAGUUGAGCUAUAAUGGCACCGACAAAAUAGAAAACAUUGAUAAUAAUUCUUAUGAAUUAAAAACAAAAUCAAAUCAAAAUAAUUACGUAAAUGUUAAGGGUGUUAAAAGUGUAAGUCGCAGUGUUAGUAAAAAACUUACAUUAAAAAAAAAAAAAAAAAAUAUUAAUUAAUGAAAAUGAUAUAGACCAACAAAAUAAUGAUAAUAAUAUUAAUGGUGAUAAGGACAAUAUAAACAAUAAUGUUGAUAAUAAUGAUAAUAAUAAUGUUGAUAAUAAUAAUGGUAACAUAAAUAAUAACGAUAAUAAUGGUAAUAAUGGUAAGAACAGCCUUAUAAAGAACGUAUCAAAUGUUGUGGGAAAAACAUUAAAAGGCUUUACAAACCUAAAUAUACGUAAAGCCGCAUAUUAUAAAUUUAUAAAUAGUAUAACAACAGAUACAAGGAAACAUGAUAAUAUCACACAAACUGGUACAAAGAAGAAGGUGCAUAUUGAGGAUGUUAAAGAAAAGGAAAUAGUAAAUAUAAUGGACACAUCAACACAUGAUAAUACAAAUGGUGAUAUUAUUAAUCUUACUAAUGAAAUAGUACCUGAUAUUGUUACUGAUAGUAGUAAAAAAAAAAAGUAUAAAACGAAAAAAAAAUUAACAUUAAAAAAAAAAGUCAGUACUGAGGAAAUUGAUGGUAUAACUUGUGAUGUGGCACAUGUCGUUAUGGAAGCACCAAACGUAUAUACCGACUUAAAUGUAGGUUCCGUUGCAGCACAAGUUCAAACACAAGAACUGACACAAACACAA